UACAGAGGGGGCAAGCGUUGUUCGGAAUUACUGGGCGUAAAGGGCGCGUAGGCGGCCUUCUAAGUCGAACGUGAAAUCCCCGGGCUCAACCCGGGAACUGCGUCCGAUACUGGAAGGCUUGAAUCCGGGAGAGGGAUGUGGAAUUCCAGGUGUAGCGGUGAAAUGCGUAGAUAUCUGGAGGAACACCGGUGGCGAAGGCGACAUCCUGGACCGGUAUUGACGCUGAGGCGCGAAAGCUAGGGGAGCGAACGGG
rnacentral:rRNA from 1 species